rnacentral:lncRNA from 1 species
UCAAUUUCACCGUUUCCAAGCUGACCAAGCUCGAGCAUUUCAGGUUCGUGGUGCUGAAUCCGAUCCCGGACAAAGGGAUUGAAGUUGAGUCGGCUGAGAGCUUCUUCCCGAGAACACUGACAAGGGUGACUCUGAGUGGCACUGGACUUCCAUGGGAAUACAUGAAAUUCGUUGCUAAGGAAUUGAAGGGUAUUGAGGUGCUGAAGCUCAAGGAGCUGGCCUUCAAUGGGCCGGAGUGGUGCCCCGACUGUCAGAUGAAGGAACUCAAGUACCUAUUGAUUGAAUACCUGAAUUUCCAAAAGUGGGAAGCAACUAAUUCCCAUUUCCCCAAACUCCAACGGUUGAUUAUGAGGCAUUGCUACGAGUUGGAGAAGCUUCCUGAUGAUAUUGUAUACAUUGGACCCCUUGUGGCGAUGGAGAUGGUGGACUGCAGCCCUCAAGCUGUGUCUUCCGCAGAGGAUAUUAUAGAUAAGGCGGAGUCCUUUAAUGAAGGCUUUGAAGGUCGCAUCUUUUCUUCAUGGGAAUAGAUACGGUAUGCAACUUCCUAUGUUUUAUAUUAACAGGACUCUGCGUGUGUGUUUGGGUUCUGUAUGCAUCAAUCUUCACUCUUAACGACUUCUCAUUAAAUCUUCAUCAAAAAACAAGAGUAAAUANGUCAGAUGAAGGAACUCAAGUACCUAUUGAUUGAAUACCUGAAUUUCCAAAAGUGGGAAUUAACUAAUUCCCAUUUCCCGAAACUCCAACGGCUGAUUAUGAGGCAUUGCUACGAGUUGGAGAAGCUUCCUGAAGAUAUUGUAUACAUUGGACCCCUUGUGGCGAUGGAGAUGGUGGACUGCAGCCCUCAAGCUGUGUCUUCCGCCGAGGAUAUUAUAAUGGUGGCGGAACGCGAUGACAAGCAGGGGUUUGAAGGUCGCAUCUUUUCUUCAUGGGAAUAGAUACGGUAUGCAACUUCCUAUAUAUUAGCUAUGUUUUAUAUUAACAGGGCUGUGCGUGUGUGUUUGAGUUCUGUAUGCAUCAAUCUUCACUCUUAACGACUUCUCAUUAAAUCUUCAUCAAAAAACAAGAGUAAAUAAAUUUGAUUGGUAAAGAUUUCAUGACAACUUUAGAGCAUCCGCAAUGGGGUUAUUUGAUAGCCUACUUGUGUUAUUGAGUAGGUAGUGCUGCAUUGGGGUUCCUUGAUAGCCUACUUGAUUUUUUUAGUUUUUAAAGAGGAGAGAGAAAUUUUUAAAGAAGAUAAGAGAAUUAAAAAAAAAAAAANAGAAAUUGCACUCGGGCAUACUCGAUAACUCGAGUAGCAUUCACUUGCAACGGCUACUCGAGUGCAAUACUCGAGUUCGAGUAAGCUAUCGAGGAUAGCGUUACUCAUGCUCUUAAUCUUGCUUGUGAAAACUUCAUGAAAAUAUCCGUGCAUAGAGAAGUUCUUAAUUUUAGAUAAUUUUAGCUAAUGGAGAUUCUUUUUUCUUCCCUUUUUCCUUCGAGUAGUUUUUAGGAUUGAAAUUAUCACCCUUAUCUAUGGAAUUAAAAGCACCACCUGCAAACUGCAUUGUAUUUGGCUAAGCUUAUUUUCAAGAGUUUAUAAGUUUCAAUAACUUAUAAGAGGUUUUAAAAGUUUAUAAAAUGUAAUGUUUUCGAUGGUUUUUAAAUUGUUAAAGUGUUUGAAUAAUUAAACUAGAGAGAAAAUUGUGAGUUAAAAAGAGAAAAUAUUAGUUAGAGAGAGAAAAAUGAAAAUAGAUAAAUUAGAUAUAUAACGAAAAUAAUUAAUCAUAUAUAGUAUAGUUAUUUUUGUACAAUUAGGUUGUCUAUAAGAUUAUGAAAGAAAUAAGUUGAGAUUGAGAAAAACUUAUUUUUUGAGAGAUUAAAAGUUGUUGGAACUUAUUUUUUCAACUUAUAAGUUGUUUAAAAAUUUAUUUUAUCAAAUACUAUGUUUUAAGAAUUUAUAAGUUUCUAAUUACAACUUAUACACUAUUUUAAGGAGCUUGACAAUAAAGCACUAUUCAGUUGGUAAGACGCUUAUCCUCUAAUCAAUAUGUCAGGAGUUCGAGUUACCACGGGGGCAUCAACCAUUAUUGAUCUUACUUAAAAAAAAAAACUAUUUUAAGGAGCUUAUAAGCUCAACCAAACAUUCUAUAAGAGUAAGUGAAUAUAUUUGUGUUAUUGCGUAGAAAUUCACCUACUCUUCUCUUUUUUUGUUAUUGCAGAAUGCUUAACAGAAAACUUGGUUAUGAUUGGGGAUCGACUGUUGUUUCAUUUCUUUGCGGCGUUUUGUUUUGAUGAUGUAAAAUCCUGAUGGUGGUUUGUCUCCCUUAUGUUUGAAACUUAAAUAAAUGUGUUCCUGCCAUUGUUCUUUCUUGCCAUGUAGAUGUAUUGAGGGAUUUUAUGGGACUACCAAGAACUUGUUGCACUUCAUUCGCAUUAUUCUAUUGAAGUAUGGCAUAUCUUUUCGGAUGUGAUCCUUUGUACUAUAAGGGACCGUUUGGUUCUGGCAUAGGAAAAUAGAAAGGAAUUCAAAACGAG